GCACUGAGAAGCUUCACCUGAGUCGCUGUUUCUCUGCGGAGAAAAUCUGGUUCUGACGCAAAGUCUGCGCACGUUGAGAGGAGCGUGACCGUGAGCGCGUGCAGGACGGAGAGCACGCGAUGGACACUUGGACUCGAGGAACAGUUCUUCACUCUUAACUUUCUACUCGACACGGAGGAUUUACUCCAGUGGUUUGACACGGAUCCUACGAGCUGCGGACCAGGACCAAGAGCAGGACCGGGACCAGGACUGGGACCAGGACCAAGAGCAGGACCGGGACCAGAACUAGGACCAGGACCAAGAGCAGGACCGGGACCGGGACUAGGACCAGGACCAGGAACGGGACCGGGACCAAGACCAGGACCUGGACCCGGAGAAGGACCAGGACCGGGACCAUUACCAGGACCCGGAGCAGUGGAGUCACCGACUCUUGUGUUUCAGUGAGUGUUCCUGAGAAGAUGGAUCAGAACCGUGAGAGCCGCUGAGAACACCGUGUUGCUUCUCGUGUCCUGAGACUCGGAGGUCGGACGGAACACGAUGGACACACCCACAUGCCACCCGGUGUGAUCCGCCCCCUGGGACACACCCACAUGCCACCCGGUGUGAUCCGCCCCCUGGGACCCGGUGAGGCGGCGACAGGAAACUCGUUUUCCAGCGUCAGGGAGUUUCUCUCCCACGACUCUUUAAAUAACAACGGCCCCUCAGGACGGAGAGGACAGAAUUAAUCCUGUGAAGUGAACCGGGUCGAGCUGCAGCAGGUCUCAGGGAUUUGAUUAGAUCAGCACUGAGAUGAAGUGUGAGCUUGUUUUGUUAACGUCGCCCUUGUGUCUGUUCACAGAGACACAUCAUUCCACUGUGGUGGAGGUGGAACACCUGCUGGGACCGAGGAUGACCUACUGGAAGGAGGGCGCCAGCCUCCUGCUGGUUCUGCUGGUCCUGCUGGACCUGAAGCCGGUCAGCGGGCGAUCGUCUCAUCACCGCAGCUUGAGACGUCAGACUCGAGGGCACCAUGAGCGCCGGGCGCACCAAAACAUCACGCUGGCCGUCAUUCUACCGAAGAGCAACACAGAGUACCCCUGGGCCUGGCCCCGCGUCGGCCCGGCCCUGGAGCGGGCCAUCAGGACCGUGAACUCCGACCCCUCGCUGCUGCCCGACCACCGGCUCACCUACGCCUUCGAGAACAGCGAGGACAAAAACCGCAUCUGCUCCGAGUCCAUCGCCCCGCUCGUGGCUGUCGACCUGAAAUUCGCCCAUGACCCGUGGGCCUUCAUUGGGCCCGGCUGUUCCUACACCGCCUCCCCUGUGGGCUUCUUCACCAACCACUGGGAUGUUCCCAUGGUCACAGCGGGCGCUCCGGCCGUGGGCUUCUACGAUGGAGUCUACCCGUCCAUCACCAACACAGGCCCCACCCACAAGAAGCUGGGGAAGUUCGCCCUGUGGAUCUGCGAGCACUUCGGCUGGCGGCAGCACGUGAUGCUGAUGUUCAGCGACACCAAGGUCGGGGAUCGGCCAUGUUACUUCGCUUUGGACGGUUUGUACUCGGAGCUGAAGAGCGUCAACAUCACCCUCGUGGACAGCGUGUUCGACGAGAGCAAGCAACCAAUCAACUACGCCCAGAUCCUCUCCGACAUCCAGAGCGACAGCCGAGUGAUGUUCGUCUGCUGCUCCCCCGAUGUCUUCAGGAAGCUGAUGGUCCAGUUCCGUGGUGCUGACCUGCCCCACGAGCAGUACGUCUUCUUCUACAUCGACGUGUUCGGAGACAGUUUGAACCUGAAGGACAGACGGCCGUGGGCCCGCGGGGACGAGGACGACCCCGUGGCCAGGGACGCUUUCCAGAGUGUGAAGAUUCUGACCUAUCGAGAGCCUCAGAAUCCAGAGUACAGAGAGUUCGUCCACAGCCUGAAGACAGACGCCAUCCAGAUGUUCAACUACACCAUCGAGGACACGCUGAUGAACAUCAUCGCUGGAGGUUUCUACGACGGCCUGAUGCUCUACACUCGAGCUCUGAACGAGAGCUUGUCUGCGUCCGGCGCUCGUCCUCCGGGGACAGACGUCACCAAGAGGAUGUGGAAUCGAACGUACCACGGUGUAACAGGACUGGUCCACCUGGACGAGAAUGGAGACAGAGAGACGGACUUCGCUCUGUGGGACAUGGACACCAACACCGACACCGGCACGUUCCAGAUAGUUUUGGUGUAUAACAGUCUUGAGGAGCAUCUGACGGCCAUACCUGGAACAACGGUGCAGUGGCCGGGCGGAACUUGUCCUCCCGAUGUUCCCGUCUGCGGCUUCAAGAACGAAAACCCCGUCUGCCUCGCGAAAACGGUCACGAUCCAACAGAUGGUUUCCAUCGUGCUGUUCUUCAUCUUCACCAUGAGCCUCACCGUCGCUGUCUUCGUCUACAGGAAGAUGAAACUGGAGAAGGAGCUGGUGGCUCAGCUCUGGAGGAUCAGCUGGGACAACAUCCAGAUGAGCAACCUGGACAAAGUGCUGCGCAGCGGCAGCAGGAUCACACUGUCCCUGAGAGGCUCUAACUACGGCUCCCUGAUGACGGCCGAUGGAAACAUGCAGGUGUUUGCAAAGACUGGUUACUACAAGGGAAACAUCAUCGCCAUCAAGUACACCAACAGGAAGCGCAUCGAGCUGAACAGGACGGUUCUGUUUGAACUCAAACACAUGCGCGACGUUCAGAAUGAACAUCUGACCAGGUUCAUCGGAGCGUGCAUCGACCCCCCCAACAUCUGUAUCAUCACAGAGUACUGUCCCCGAGGGAGUCUGCAGGACAUCCUGGAGAACGACAGCAUCACUCUGGACUGGAUGUUCAAAUAUUCUCUAAUCAAUGACAUUGUGAAGGGUAUGGUCUUCCUCCACAACAGCGUCAUCGUCUCUCAUGGAAAACUCAAGUCGUCCAACUGUGUAGUCGACAAUCGCUUCGUCCUGAAAAUCACAGACUACGGUUUGUCCAGUUUUCGCUACGACGCCGACUCCGGGAAAGACGCCCACGCCUACUACGCCCAGAGACUGUGGAUGGCUCCAGAGCUGCUCAGGAUGGAGUCCCCUCCGCCUCAGGGAACUCAGAAAGGAGACGUCUACAGCUUCAGCAUCAUCCUCCAGGAGGUGGCGCUGCGCCGAGGAGCCUUCUACCUGGAGGCAGACCCGCUCAGCACGAAAGAGAUCGUGGACCGGGUGGUUCUGGGCGAGUGGCCGUGCCUGAGGCCGACCGUCGACCCUCAGGUCCACAGUCCCGAGCUGGGUCAGCUGAUGCAGCGCUGCUGGGCGGAGGAGCCGACCGAGAGACCCGAGUUCAGCCACAUCCGACUGCUGCUGCGGAAACAGAACAAGGAGUCGAGGACCAACAUCCUGGACAACCUUCUGUCUCGUAUGGAGCAGUACGCCAACAACCUGGAGGAGCUGGUGGAGGAGAGGACACAAGCGUACCACGAAGAGAAACGCAAGGCCGAGGCUCUGCUCUACCAAAUACUACCACACUCAGUAGCGGAGCAGUUGAAGCGAGGUGAGACGGUUCAGGCCGAGGCCUUUGACUCCGUCACCAUCUACUUCAGUGACAUCGUGGGCUUCACCUCUAUCUCUGCAGAGAGCACGCCGAUGGAGGUUGUGACUCUGCUCAACGACCUCUACACAUGUUUUGAUGCCAUCAUCGACAACUUUGAUGUUUACAAGGUGGAGACCAUCGGCGACGCCUACAUGGUGGUGUCCGGCCUCCCGGUCAGGAACGGGAAGCUGCACGGCCGAGAGAUCGCCCGCAUGGCCCUCGCCCUGCUGGACGCCGUCCGCACCUUCAAGAUCCGCCACCGGGUGGAGCAGCAGCUGAAACUGAGGAUCGGGAUCCACAGCGGCCCGGUGUGUGCAGGUGUGGUGGGGCUGAAGAUGCCACGGUUCUGCCUGUUCGGGGACACGGUCAACACGUCGUCACGUAUGGAGGCCAGCAGCGAAGUGUCCGGAGGCCGGAAUGUUCCGUGACAGAAACCAGUUUGGUCACAAGGACCAGAACAGAACGUGGUGACUGGGCUGAGGAUAAAAGCAGUGGACAGAGACAGUGUGAGACAGAGACCUGAGUCGUCCACACAGACGGACGAGGGAGCCAAUCGGUCCGAAGGUGAAACGUCUCCUCCGACACAAAGCUGCUGCACUUCAGUUCCUACCACGAUCCCGAUCGGCCGUCAGCAUGUUCAACAUAUUACACCUGGCUGCACUCAGUGUGCUCGCAGGUACGGCAACGACCCAGGAUUUUACCAGUUCAGCUCAGUGGGACAUCAACUCCUGCCCCAUCACCUACUAUGGACAGAAAUAUGACAAAGCAUAUGUGAGCUUCAAUGCCAACAGAGUGACUGUUUGCUUCAAUGGCGAGUACGGCUCUGGAAUCAAGAACGACUGCAUCCUGUUGUCUAGAGGAGCGGCUGACAGUGGAAAGCUGAGCAUUCACCGAGUUAAAUUCCCACUUGGAUCUAGGUUCCAUAAAAAUCUACCGAACCUGAAACAAACCUCAACAUGUCUCAUCUUUAUUAGAACUUUCAGUCAACAAAUGAUGGUUAAAGCGAUGGAAUUUGCCAAUUUUCUGCCAGACGCGGUUCUGUCAAUCAGGACGUCAUCUGGAUUCACUGCUUCUCAUGUCGCGUUGUUUAUAAGAUAAGGACGACCACAGGUCUGGACCCAAGCAUCUGCUCCACUGUCUCCUGUGAUGCGGGUGGAGUUGCUGCUGUCAGUGUCUGUGGUCCCAAGGAGUCCUGCAAUGGAAAGGGCAGCUGCAUCAUCCCAAACAACGUGUGCACCGUGAUCGGCUCCUCGGUCGUCGGUUUCGCUGGGCAGGUCCAGGCUGUGCCGGACCGCAUGGCUACACUCUGUUCAGGUCCACAUCCGUCCCC